GAAGACUACAGUUCAAUAAGAAGGAAACACAUUCAUUUUCAGUAUUGUUAAUAAAGAAGCUUACCUAAAAGAAGGAAAUCAAAACAAGAUAAUCUACACUGCAACUAGGGGAGGCUAUUGAAUGUGAUGGUCCCCUCAGAUGCCUAGAGGAAGAUGAACAAUGGUAAUCAGAUAUCCUAAAGUUAUCUUUAGGGCACUGGCAAAAUAGCAGCAAUGCCUGGUGGAAGCUGACUUUGUGCAUACACAUGAGAGCCCACAGAAAACUUCAAACUUCAUGGAAAUAAAACCUUCAGCUGCAGCUAAGAAUUUGGAGGUUACUGAAGGAGGUUACUUUUUCAAGAGCAGAAGUAAGGAUUCCACUGAAUUUGCUCACCAAAGAUAAGUCAGCAAAGAAAACUUACUGAAGAAUACAGACAGCAUAUCAGCUCCUGCUUUCCAGACAAACUUCCUGGGUCUUGGGAAGAAGAAAGCCUCAGACUAAGAACUCUCUCUGGACUCAGACAGCCUGAAUUCAAAUCCCAUCUCUAUUCUUACUAGUCAUAUGAACACAGGAGAACCAUAUCCAUUCAGCUCACUUUGGACCACCUGUGGAGCCUGAUAACCAGGGAACAGAGAACCUGUUGAGAUCCAAAUUUGUGUGCCAGAUCACAAACUCAUCUGAAGCAGAUGCCACGUGUUACACUGUUAUGUCUCUCAGAGACUCCAGCACUUUGAAAGUAUUAGGCCUUGCUUAUUGAGAUGAAUAUUUUUUUCUAGGCAUGUCCCAAAGUUCUCAGCAUAGCUACAACCCUGAUUUUCACAGGAUUUUCAUUAAAAUUAGGUUCUAGAGCAUUACUUCCCUAAUGUGCAAUGCAACUUACGUUUAGUUUUCAAAUCAAAAUUAGUUUUGUU
rnacentral:lncRNA from 10 species